rnacentral:rRNA from 1 species
UACGUAGGGGGCGAGCGUUGUCCGGAAUGACUGGGCGUAAAGGGUGUGUAGGCGGUUUAUUAAGUUAGAAGUGAAAUACCUAGGGCUUAACCCAGGUGCUGCUUCUAAAACUGAUAGACUUGAGUGCAGUAGAGGAAAGUGGAAUUCCUAGUGUAGCGGUGGAAUGCGUAGAUAUUAGGAGGAACACCGGCGGCGAAGGCGGCCUGCUGGACCGUAACUGACGUUGAGGCACGAAAGCGUGGGGAGCAAAUAGG